rnacentral:rRNA from 1 species
AGAGUUUGAUCAUGGCUCAGGACGAACGCUGGCGGCGUGCCUUAAUACAUGCAAGUAGAACGCUGAAGAAAGGAGCUUGCUUCUUUGGAUGAGUUGCGAACGGGUGAGUAACGCGUAGGUACCUGCCUUGUAGCGGGGGAUAACUAUUGAAACGAUAGCUAAUACCGCAUAACAGCUUUUGACACAUGUUAGAAGCUGAAAGAUGCAAUUGCAUCACUACGAAAUGGACCUGCGUUGUAUUAGCUAGUGGGUAGGGUAACGGCCUACCUAGGCGACGAUACAUAGCCGACCUGAGAGGGUGAUCGGCCACACUGGGACUGAGACACGGCCCAGACUCCUACGGGAGGCAGCAGUAGGGAAUCUUCGGCAAUGGGGGCAACCCUGACCGAGCAACGCCGCGUGAGUGAAGAAGGUUUUCGGAUCGUAAAGCUCUGUUGUAAGAGAAGAACGUGUGUGAGAGUGGAAAGUUCACACAGUGACGGUAACUUACCAGAAAGGGACGGCUAACUACGUGCCAGCAGCCGCGGUAAUACGUAGGUCCCGAGCGUUGUCCGGAUUUAUUGGGCGUAAAGCGAGCGCAGGCGGUUUAAUAAGUCUGAAGUUAAAGGCAGUGGCUUAACCAUUGUUCACUUUGGAAACUGUUAAACUUGAGUGCAGAAGGGGAGAGUGGAAUUCCAUGUGUAGCGGUGAAAUGCGUAGAUAUAUGGAGGAACACCGGUAGCGAAAGCGGCUCUCUGGUCUGUAACUGACGCUGAGGCUCGAAAGCGUGGGGAGCAAACAGGAUUAGAUACCCUGGUAGUCCACGCCGUAAACGAUGAGUGCUAGGUGUUAGGCCCUUUCCGGGGCUUAGUGCCGCAGCUAACGCAUUAAGCACUCCGCCUGGGGAGUACGACCGCAAGGUUGAAACUCAAAGGAAUUGACGG